UUUUGCCUUACGGCGUCAAAUUUUUAACAGUGAUGAUGCCCCGUGGAUAAACAUUAACAACAUGGCAAUGUAAUGUGAUUGCAUGGCACUGUGAAGGGACAGAGAAACUGAAGAAACCCUAAUUUUCAAAUCCAAACCCUAGCCACCCAUGGCUGUCGCCACCAUCCUCGCCAGAACCCAAAAUCCGGCCACCACAACGCCUCAACCAGUCACCACCACAAUGCCGCAAGGUCGCCGUCGCCAUUAGCCACCACAAAUCCUUCAUCAUUGCGCACCAUCGUUUUUGCUGUGACUACCGUGCCGCCGUCGCACUGCACCGUGAAUCAGAGAAAUCGCGCCGCUAGCAGCCACCUCUCUACAAGCACCGCGACGUCGUCACCACCAUUACAAACCCUUCACCCCACCGUCCAACCUUCUGUGAGCAAGCAACAGUUUCGCCGUCGCGGAGAAUCCAGAAUCGUGUCGCCGUUAAGCUUCGAGCGUCAUCCCCUUCGAAUCGCAACCACGUUGCAACAUCCAUGGCCGUUUUCUUCCAUCAAUCUUCCUCCAUUUUCGCAACCUGCAUCAAAGCCAGAUCUGCAAGCACAAUUUCGAAUAUCAGAAACCCAAUUCGUCUUCCACCACCGUGCAACUAUCCGCGCAACCAUGGCCAUCAUUCAUCAUCAUCACCGCAUCAGAACCUGCAACCAAAACCAGAAACAACCACAGAAAUUGGAAUCAUUACCCAAAUUCACAUGAAAACCCUGUUUUCUCACACCCAGAAUCUUUCUUGGCCUUUUUCUUGAAUUCAAGCACAAAGAUUGGGUCUUUUUCAGCUCUAGUUGAAUCCCCAUUCAAGGGCUGGCAUCUGGGUGUUAGUCUGCAUGCCAGUUUUCGCCCAAGUUUGAAGUUUUUCCCCAUUCUGCUGCGACCUAAUUGAUGAGACUCUAAUGGGCUCCUUCGAAUCUGGGAUCCCAUUGAAGAAGGGGAGCUUGUUUGGUACUCAGUUCACUAGAAAAGAGAAGAAUUCUUUUUCUCACAGGUUCAGAUCGAGCUUUUUGAGGUUGCUCUUUAAGAAGCUCGAUUACUUGCAAUGGAUUUGUAAGGCGGUGGUGUUUCUGUGCUUGAUUGUUGUGUUCCAAAUGUUUCUGCCAGGGUCGAUUGUGGAAAACUCCGAUGAAGAGUGAUGGCUGAUGGCAUUCACGUUAGUGGAGGUGGAAGAUGGUUGAUCUGUCAAGACUUUUUUUUUUUUUUAAUUCAAAAUUCACAUAAGUGUCACGUAGAGAUAGUUCAGAAUGUUUUGUCCAGGGUGUAGGUUUUACCGUUAAAUAUUUGAUGCCGUAAGGCAAAAUGACUUAAUUGAACGAUUUUUUCAAAAGGUAGGAUCUAUUGCUACCAAAAUAAAAAGGUAGGACCACAUUAAACACAACCCUCCAAUCAUGGAACCAAAAGUAGAAUUAAGCCUUAAUAAAAUAAUAAGAAAACGAUAAAAAUGAUAAAUGGUUUGCGAUAAUAAGAGGAAUGAGGUUAUAUAUCUUUCUUAGAGGGAUGAAAAUAUUUUGACAACACUGUUUUUUUAUAGUGUCAUUUUCUAUUUAAAUUUACAUUUAAAAAAUAUUUAAAAUAGUGUCAUUAAAAUGACUUUUUCCUAUCUAUAGAUAGAGGCUAGAUGGAGGCUAGUGAUCCAGAAAAGAUAAGCCUUGGUCCCAGAAAGAUUCCUUUCGUUCCUAAAAAAUCAAAUUUUAUGUUCUGAUUUAAACUUUGCUGGUGGGAGAGUUGUAAACUUAUUUAAUGCAUUGAAUGUGGGAGUUGACUUGAAUCCAAGCUUUUUCUAUAUAUACGUAUGCGUGUGCGAGAGAGAGAUAUUCAUAUAGAUCAUGGCUUCAUUCCAUGCAUCAAAUACAAGAGAACUAUUGCUUCACAUGAAAGGUGGCAAGGGGGAGAGAAGUUAUGCAAAUAACAGCUCGCUGCAAGUACUAUAUUUUAUCUUAAAAUAUCAAUGUAUUUCCUUUUCUUAUAUCUAUGUUUAUCUAACUUUCAUUUUAAUUUCAUUAUUGCAGAAAAACCUAAUGCUUAAAGCCAAACACAUACUUGAAGAAACUAUCAUGACACUCGAUUGUCAUUUUUCUCCAAACUGCAUGAAAGUGGCAGAUUUAGGUUGCUCUGUGGGACCAAAUACACUUCUUUUAAUAUCAAAUGUUGUUAGCAUUGUUCAUACUGCAUGCACUAGCUUAAACCGUGAGCUACCUACGUUCCAGUUUUAUCUCAAUGAUUUAUUCGAAAAUGAUUUCAAUACCACCUUCAAGUCACUUCCAGAUUUUUACACAAAACUGCUACAAAACAAAGAAAACAGGUCUGUUUCAUGCUUUAUUAAUGCCACACCUGGAUCCUUCUACGGAAGGCUCUUUCCCAGUAAUUCCAUAAACCUUUUUCAUUCCUCCAACAGUCUACACUGGCUUUCUCAGGUUAGAUAAGUUCACUCUUUCUUCUCCUCUAAACUUACUGAUAUGUUAUAGUCUACCAGUACCAUUUUUGUCUUAGGUUUGUUUUUCUUUCAAUUUCUCACUCUAUAUAUUUGAGUUUAUUUAUCUCAUAUUUUGGUUGUAGGAUCCAUUAUUGGGGUGUAAUGUAGCAUUCCUUAACAAGGGUCAUUGUCAUAUAGUUAGCACAAGCCCUCCUGAGGUAUACAAAGCUUACCUUAAGCAGUAUCAGCAAGACUUAAAAGUGUUUUUGAAAUCACGUGCUGAGGAACUUGUGCCUGGAGGAGCAAUGGUCUUGUUGUUCCUUGGUAAUCAGGAAAAUCCUAGAAUAACAGGUUGGGAACUAAUUAGUCUAAUACUCAAUGAGAUGUUCUUGGAGGUAAAAACAGUUAUUUUUUUAUUAAUUACUGUAAGGGUAUCUCUUAAAAAAAAUAUUAUAUGCGUUACAGUUUAUAAUUGAAGAGGUAUAUAUAAAAAAUGCAGGGUAUGAUUGAAGAAGAAAAAUUGGAGUCCUUCAACAUACCAGUGUAUGAACCAACUGUUGAAGAACUUAGAAACGUGAUUGAGGAAGAAGGGUCAUUCUUGAUUGAACGAUUAGAGAUUUUAAUCUUACCUUGGGAUGACGGCAUGAGUGAAGGGAGUGAUGAUAUAAAAGCAGCACUAAUGGCCAAGCAUGUAAGAGCGAUUAUGGAGCCUCUAAUGUCUACAAAGUUUGGUGCAGAAGUUAUAACUGAAGUGUUCUUGAGGUAUCAGAAGAAAGCAGUGCAACUAAUGGAGGUGGAGAAGGAGAAAUUGGAGUUUGCUACUUUUAUGAUAUCUAUGACAAAAAAUGCUUGAAGUGUGUUUCAAUAAAAUAUUUUCUCAGUUAAUCAAGUUAUGUUAUGUUGGGUUGUUUUGUUAAAAGUUAUCUGUCAUUGCUGUAUGAAAACAUUCUUAUAUUGUAACAACAGUAAUAAAUCAGAAAGCUG
rnacentral:lncRNA from 1 species